AAUCUCAAUCCCACCGGGUUUUAUUACUCGGUGCUGGACUUGGACUUGGGCGCUGCCAGUCAAAUGGCUCGCCUCAAAUGACUUAGUGGGAUCUCGACCUGACAUCCGUGACAGACGUAAUAAGUUUCGUCUCGUCCCUUGUCUGAACUGAGCCUGCUCAUAACCUGCCAUCGCGCACCUUUUUGA
rnacentral:misc_RNA from 1 species